rnacentral:rRNA from 1 species
CCUACGGGUGGCAGCAGUGAGGAAUAUUGGUCAAUGGACGAGAGUCUGAACCAGCCAAGUAGCGUGAAGGAUGACUGCCCUAUGGGUUGUAAACUUCUUUUAUAUGGGAAUAAAAUGUUCCACGUGUGGGAUUUUGUAUGUACCAUAUGAAUAAGGAUCGGCGAACUCCGUGCCAGCAGCCGCGGUAAUACGGAGGAUCCGAGCGUUAUCCGGAUUUAUUGGGUUUAAAGGGAGCGUAGGUGGAUUGUUAAGUCAGUUGUGAAAGUUUGCGGCUCAACCGUAAAAUUGCAGUUGAAACUGGCAGUCUUGAGUACAGUAGAGGUGGGCGGAAUUCGUGGUGUAGCGGUGAAAUGCUUAGAUAUCACGAAGAACUCCGAUUGCGAAGGCAGUUCACUGGACUGCAACUGACACUGAGGCUCGAAAGUGUGGGUAUCAAACAGGAUUAGAUACCCUUGUAGUC